rnacentral:rRNA from 1 species
GACGAACGCUGGCGGCGUGCCUAACACAUGCAAGUCGAGCGAUGAAGCUCCUUCGGGAGUGGAUUAGCGGCGGACGGGUGAGUAACACGUGGGUAACCUGCCUCAUAGAGAGGGAUAGCCUUCCGAAAGGAAGAUUAAUACCUCAUAAGAUUGUAGUUUCGCAUGAAACGGCAAUAAAAGGAGCAAUCCGCUAUGAGAUGGACCCGCGUCGCAUUAGCUAGUUGGUAAGGUAAUGGCUUACCAAGGCGACGAUGCGUAGCCGACCUGAGAGGGUGAUCGGCCACAUUGGGACUGAGACACGGCCCAGACUCCUACGGGAGGCAGCAGUGGGGAAUAUUGCACAAUGGGGGAAACCUUGAUGCAGCAACGCCGCGUGAGUGAUGACGGUCUUCGGAUUGUAAAACUCUGUCUUUGGGGACGAUGAUGACGGUACCCAAGGAGGAAGCCACGGCUAACUACGUGCCAGCAGCCGCAGUAAAAC